rnacentral:rRNA from 1 species
UACGGUCAAGCUACGAAGGGCGCACGGUGGAUGCCUAGGCGAUCAGAGGCGAAGAAGGACGUGGACAGCUGCGAUAAGCUCCGGGGAACCGCUAACAGGUUGUGAUCCGGAGAUCUCCGAAU